rnacentral:sRNA from 1 species
CUACAUACAACCGCUCAAAUAUGGGUUUAAGUACUAUUCAAUUUGCAAUAGUCACCUAUGUAUGGCGUGACUUAUAA